ensembl:rRNA 5S_rRNA 5S ribosomal RNA
UUUCACAGCCAAAUCCCCCUGCAGCCCAAGACUGGUUACUCACUGACGCUACAGUAAGCAGGGCUGAGCCUGGUCAGUAACUGAAUGGGAGACCACAUGGGAAAACUAGGUUGCUGUUGGAA